UACGUAGGGGGCUAGCGUUGUCCGGAAUCAUUGGGCGUAAAGCGCGCGUAGGCGGCCCGGUAAGUCCGCUGUGAAAGUCCAGGGCUCAACCCUGGAAAGCCGGUGGAUACUGCCGGGCUAGAGUCCGGAAGAGGCGAGUGGAAUUCCUGGUGUAGCGGUGGAAUGCGCAGAUAUCAGGAAGAACACCCGUGGCGAAGGCGGUUCUCUGGAUCGGUACUGACGCUGAGGUGCGAAAGCGUGGGGAGCAAACAGG
rnacentral:rRNA from 1 species